UUAUUUGCCUGGCAGGGGAGAUCCCAUGAUCACGAUAGGGGAUCAGAGUGAGGCUCAUUUAUGGCUCUUGGGAUGUGCUUUCCCCACCUGUGGGAAACUCUACUGCAAAAUUUGUGGUAGAGUAGUGGUGAACUGUG
rnacentral:snRNA from 1 species